GACGUAGGAGGCGAGCGUUGUCCGGAAUUACUGGGCGUAAAGAGCGCGUAGGCGGCACGGUACGACCGGGGUGAAAGCCCCCGGCUCAACUGGGGAGGGUCACCGGUAACGGCCGAGCUAUGAGUGCAGGAGAGGGAAGUGGAACUCCGGGAGUAGCGGUGAAAUGCGUAGAGACCCGGAGGAACACCAAUAGCGAAGGCAGCUCGCUGGGACGUUACUGACACUGAGGCGCGAAAGCGUGGGGAGCGAACAGG
rnacentral:rRNA from 1 species